UACGGGGGAGCAAGCGUUGUUCGGAUUUACUGGGCGUAAAGGGCGCGUAGGCGGUCAGCACAAGUCAGUUGUGAAAUCUCCGAGCUUAACUCGGAAAGGUCAACUGAUACUGUGCGACUAGAGUGCGGAAGGGGCAACUGGAAUUCUCGGUGUAGCGGUGAAAUGCGUAGAUAUCGAGAGGAACACCUGCGGCGAAGGCGGGUUGCUGGGCCGACACUGACGCUGAGGCGCGAAAGCUAGGGGAGCGAACGGG
rnacentral:rRNA from 1 species